GCGGCGGCGGGGGGCAGGCGGCGGCAGGCGCGGCGUGCGGGGCCUCCGGCGCCUUCCCCCCGCCCUCGC
rnacentral:pre_miRNA from 1 species